rnacentral:lncRNA from 1 species
CGCCGCUCGUGGAGGGCGGGGCGGGGGAGCGUCGCGGGGUAGCCGCACCGCAGCCCUUUCCCGCGGGGACCGCGGGGUCCCGGGAGAGUUGGAAGCGAGGGAAGGUUUGCGCGGCGCGGUCCACGGAGCACCAGGCGGGCCGCAUGCUUUCGGCCUCAAAACUUGAAAGCUGUUGGGGAAAAACGCGCUGAAAAUAAAGGAAACGGGCUCUAGACUCCCGCCUUUAUAUAUAGCUUCCGCAUAAGCUGGGAGGUCAAAUCCACAUUCGGGUUUCUAGAGCUCCCGGGGUUGCAGACCGAGCUGCCGCUCCGCUUCCUCCCCCCGCCGUCCUCACCGUCCGUCCGUCCGUCCGUCCGCCCGCGCAGCCGUGCCUGCAGCUCCAGGCUCCGUCCGCGCGCCCGGCGCCGUCGAGGCCGCGGCUCUCGGCUCCGUGACUGGCCCCGGGGACGCCAGCUGCGGGGCUGCGUCCCCCGAACGGGACGUUAAACGCGCAAAGCAGAUUGCGGAGGGUCGGAGGAGGCGCGGCGUUCGGAGACGCAGCACCGUAUACCGUACGGGCAGAUGCAGGGGGAUGAUGCAGAGCCGCAUGUUAUUAUACCCACUUCCAAGCCCAGGACCUUACCAGGAUGUUCAGUCCUUCUGUGGGGAAAAUUUCUUUUAACAUGGAGAUGAGGGUUUUGGUGACAACCAUCAAAAAAGAGUAAAAGGCAUGACUCUAGGUCAAUUUACCAUCCUAAUUUCAAGACCUCCACUGCAUCACUUCAAUUGCUGGUGGGUUUUCAGAAGCUUUUCUAAAAUGGUUUUAAACACUAUUAUUAUAUUGAGGUGCCUCAGUGACUCAGUUGGUUAAGUGUCUGCCUUUGGCACAGGUAAUGAUGCCAGGGUCCUGGGAUGGAGGCCCCAGGCAGGGUCCCUGCUCAGUAGGGAGCCUGCUUUUCCCUCUUCCUCUGCCACUCCCCCUGCUUGUGUGCUCUGUCAAAUAAGUAAGUAAAAUAUUUUUUAAAUGUUUCAACUUAUUAAAAAAAUUCUAUCAGUUAUUUGACAAGCAACUGUUCACUCGCUGACGUGUUUCCAAUCCUUGGGGCUCAUGGGUGGCUCAGUGAGUCAAGCGUCUGCCUUUGGCUCAGGUCAUGAUCCCAGGAUCCUGGGUUUGAGCCCCACAUUGGGCUCCCUGCUCAGCAGGAAAUCUCCCUCUCCCUCUGCCACUCCCCCUGCCUGUGCUCUCUCUCUCUCUCUGUCUCUGUCAAAUAAAUAAAAUCUCAUUUUAAAAAGGUGUUUCUAGAAGAUCUCUGGGUGGCUCAGUGGUUUAGUGCCUGCCUUUGGCCCAGGGCGCGAUCCUGGAGUCCUGGCAUCUAGUCCCACGUCGGGUUCCCAGCAUGGAGCCUGCUUCUCCCUCCUCCUGUGUCUCUGCCUCUCUCCCUCUCUCUCUCUCAUAAAUAAAUAAAUAAAUAAAUAAAUAAAUAAAUAAAUAAAUAAAUAAAUAAAUAAAUCUUUUACAAAAAAGGUGUGUCUAAUCCUCAAGUAUAAUUCAUGUUUAGCAUAAUUAGUGAUUGCUUUACACUCUGUGUGGUAAAAAUAUUAUUUCAUGAAAAAUAUGUCACUUGACAUUUCAAGCAUUCUUCCCCUUAUAGAAGUAAAGGCAAAGCUUCUGACUACCCCUCUUUUUACCAAGGCCAGAGCUUCAUGAGCAUGCAGCCUGUGCAACAGCUCAAGACCCAUGCUUAGAAGGGCCUGUACUCGGUGCAGGGCUCUGCUACUGCCAUCUUGAAAUUCCUAAUGAUUUUGGAACAGGAGGUCUUUUCUUUUCCUUUUGUACAGGCCCUCCCCCCGCCGCCAAAUUACAUAGCCAGUCCUGGAUAGGGUCAAUACAGUAUUAAUACACACUUGACAUUAUUUAAUGAUAAUAUUUUCUGGAGUUAGAUCAUUUGUCCUUUACUCACCCACCUGUUCUGUGUUCUGCUGAGUUCACUCUGAGUUCAUGACAUUCACCAAGAUGACAUCCUUUUUUCCUCCAGUGGUAAUUCUAGGAAUCUGGUUGUUAGGUGAAGUCCUUGAAACUUUGGUUCCUCUUUCUUGAACAGGUUCUACUGGUUUACUUUCCAUGGUGUUUGGUGUUUGCUCAUGUUUGGCUUGUUAACAUCGAAGCUGCAGUUACCACAGACCUCAGUGGUAGGGGAGUCCUCUGCCAAGAAGCCUCUGCUCCUCGUUCUCUUGCUCUGGCUCAGGGUCAUCCACACUUUCCCCCCACCUUGCCUCAUUUUCUGGCAGGAUAAACACCACACUGGGUUGUUUGACUCCAAGCUUGGAGUUUGACUCCGAGCUGCUCCCCCUUGCUAAUGAGUGUGUUUGUCAUCAUAAGCUUUUCUUCUUGCUCUGAAUCUGGUUUGUCCACAUUUUCCCCAAUACACCUCACUUACUGAGAUGACAAGGACCACACUAGGACCACAGAACAUUUUCUAGAUGGCUGCAAAUUUUUAUGGGUGUAACUUCUGAGUGUUUUGUGCUUUAAAAAAAAAUCUCACUGUCCUGCCAUUUACCUCAAUUGUUAUGUACUUAAAAAAAAAACUACAAGUUAUUUAUAAAAAAAUAGAUACAAAUCCCAACUACAUGAGACUACAAGUAGAAUUUGUUAAAUUUUGGUAGUGGCUCUCUGCUUUAAAAAAAAAAAAGCCCUUUUCAAGAGAUAGAGAUGAUUUUUAUUAUGAAAUCAUCUGUUUAUAUUUUCUUACAUUUCUCCUUCCUUCUAAUUUUAAGAAUAUUUCAUCCAUAAAUGAGGAAAUCUUUCUGCUCUUGUGUUUCUCUAUAUCCCUCUGGACCAAAGGGAGUUGGAAUCCCCUUAUUUAUAACCCAGUGCUGUGCUAAGGUGCUGCUGAUGGUGGUGACCGUCUGGGACUGUGCACAGUGCAGCCAUUCCAAGAUGCGUGUCUAAAAAAGGCACACCCGGUCAUCCACAUAGGAUAUGUUACCUGCCUGCAUUUGUGCAGAUAAUUGUACCCCCACACCCAGAUAGGAAGGUGUAGAAUUAUGCUGUAUUAUCCUUGGACAAAAUCAAGUUGCAAUUUUUCUAAAGGGAAAAUUUAGGUCUCUCUUUUUUAAAAAAAGAUUGUAUUUAUUUAUUCAUGAGAGACACAGAGAAAGAGGCAGAGACACGGGUAGAGGGAGAAGCAAACUCCCCGCAGGGAGCCCGAUGUGGGACUUGAUCCCAGGACCCUAGGAUCACGCCCUGAGCCAAAGGCAGGCAUUCAACCACUGAGCCACCCAGGUGUCCCAAAUGAGAAAAUUUAGGUCUCUUGGUUUUAAAUGAAACUUUUAUAAAAAAUAAAAAUAUUUUCCAUCUAUUAUUUGCUGUUCUUUGCCAUAUAAUUAUAUAAUUUAUAUUUUAUUAUG